CUGCUCAAUGAUUUUUUAAAUUGCUGUGGUAUUUUAACUAUACAAAGGUAUUGUAAUAAGAUUUUAAUUGAAUGCUAAAAGAAUGGAAGUUUAAGAAAAAACUUUUUUAAAAAUAAAAAUUAAAUUUUUUUUAAUUUGUGCAAAACCAAUUAUUUAUAUUAAAGACAAGAAGACCCUAUGAAUUUAUGAUUAAAUAAACUAAAAAUUUUUAGUUUAUUUAAUCUUGAUUGGGGCAAUCAAAAAAUAUUAAUAACUUUUUUAAAUUUAAAUGAUCUAUUAUUAAUAAUCUAAUGGAAUAAAUACUCUAGGGAUAACAGCGUAAUAAUUUUUGAUAGAUCUUAUAGACAAAAUAGUUUGCGACCUCGAUGUUGGAUUAGGAUUCUUUUUUAAUGAAGAUGUUAAAACAAGAAGUUUGUUCAACUUUUAAAUUCCUACUUGAUCUGAGUUCAGACCGG
rnacentral:rRNA from 1 species